rnacentral:rRNA from 1 species
GACGAACGCUGGCGGCGUGCUUAACACAUGCAAGUCGAACGGUAAGGCCCUUCGGGGUACACGAGUGGCGAACGGGUGAGUAACACGUGGGUGAUCUGCCCUGUACUUCGGGAUAAGCCUGGGAAACUGGGUCUAAUACCGGAUAGGACUCCGGACUGCAUGGUCUGGGGUGGAAAGCUUUUGCGGUGUGGGAUGGGACCGCGGCCUAUCAGCUUGGUGGUGGGGUGAUGGCCUACCAAGGCGACGACGGGUAGCCGGCCUGAGAGGGUGACCGGCCACACUGGGACUGAGAUACGGCCCAGACUCCUACGGGAGGCAGCAGUGGGGAAUAUUGCACAAUGGGCGCAAGCCUGAUGCAGCGACGCCGCGUGAGGGAUGACGGCCUUCGGGUUGUAAACCUCUUUCAGCAUCGACGAAGCGAAAGUGACGGUAGGUGCAGAAGAAGGACCGGCCAACUACGUGCCAGCCGCCGCCGUAA